rnacentral:lncRNA from 1 species
CUUCCCGCCUGAGGGCCUGCCUGGCCCUGACUCCCGACCCGCUCCUCCUCCGAAGAGAGAUCGGGGCCGCUGACAGGGGCCCUCCGCAGCCACCGGGGAUGGGACUGGGGGGUCGGUUCCUGUCCCGGUGCAGCCGCCGCCGGGUAGACCGCCUGGCUUGGCCGCAGCCAGGGCGACAUGUAGCCCCGGUUCUGCCAGGCUGGGAGCGCCAGCCAUCUUGGGAGUUGCCAGGCAGCUGUCGCCAGCAGGUAGAGGGCGCCUGCAGCUUGGGCGCCCAGGUGGUGGAGCACGGCCUAGGCGGCCUCUGGAUCGCGAGUGCACCUGGCCUGAGAGCCCGCCAGGCCCUGCCCCUGCUCGGCUCCUCGUCUGCUGAAGCUCGGGACCUCUAGCCAGUGGCCCUCUGCAGCCACGGGGAAUGGGGCUGAGAGCCGGUUCCCGCUGCAGGGCAGACCACCUAGCUCAGCCGCAGCCACAGGGACAUCUGGCCCCGGUUCUGAGAUGUGGGGAGUGCUGGCGGGCUCGGGGGUUGCCUGGAGGCUGCUGCCUGCACACAGAAGGCGGAUGCAGCUUGGGUGCCCAGGCGGGCUGGAGGUGCAUGGCCUGGUCGGCCUCGGGAUCGCCAGCGCGCCCAGCCUGAGGGCCCCCAGGCCGUGCCUCCCGCCCAUUCCUCCACCGGAGGGGGAUCGGGGUCGCUGGCAUGGGCACUUGGCAGUCACUCCGGAUGGGGUUGAGCAGGGGUUCUCAGUUUUCGCCCCUGUGCAGCCGCCGCCGGGCAGAAUGCCUGGCUUGGCCGCAGCCACUGCUACACCUAGCGGGUCGGGCGGGCCGGGGGGUGAAAGCGCUGGGAGGCGGGUGCCUUCUCGCCCUGUGGCGCCUCUGGGCCCCACGGCUUGUCGGCCUCCGGCGCGCAGGGCUCCCCAGCAUCCUGGGCGCCGGCCCGCUGCCUGCACAAAGUCAACUCAGACAGGAUGAACUUCGGUUGCCUUGUCUGGCUGGGCUGCCAGGCGGGGCAGCUGACCUGCUGAUGGGGUGACUUUCUUCAUCUUCUUGCCCACAGGACAGCGGGCUGGGAAGCCAGGGGCCGCCGGGACCUGGGGCUGGAAACCACAUCUGCCCACAGCCGCAGCCUCCUGCACCUGUCAUCCUGGCGGCGCCCUGACGUCGGAGAAGCAGCAGGCGCGGAGCUCCUGCAGCGGGCACCGCUGCAGCAACCCGACCCGGCGCAGGCGGCAGUGGAAGGCGGCCUGCUAGCACGGCUCCCGCGGCCCCAGGACCAGGGGUGCGGCCAGCACCGCCCUCACUCCCCGCGUCUCGUGGAUAUUGCCCUCCCUGGAGGCGGCUGGACCUAAGCGAGGCUCGCAGCGAUCGGCCCCGCGAAGACUCGCAUGCAGGGCUCAGGAUCCCGCAUUCUGGCGCCGCGGCACCGCACCUUUCAGCAGCCCUGCUCCUCUUCUUGUUGGUAAACUUUUGUCACUCUGCCAUGAAAAGCAUCCAGGCGUCCUUGAUUUCGACAUUGCGUGCACGCUCAGCCGAGCUCAUCAGACGGGCGGUUGUCCCCAGAGCCCGCGGGUAGCUUGUUCCCGGGCGGCGGCUCCUGCUGGAUGCAGCUCCUUGUGGGCCUACCAGGCUUGGUGGAGCCACAGCAGACCUGUGGAGAGGAAGAGUAAGGCGGGCUCUGCAGGGCAGUGGGCCGGGACCAUGAGAGAGGCGGGUCAGUCUGGGCUCCAAGCUCAGCCUCUCGGAUUCCCCGGGACCCACGGCUUAUAAUGCGCUUAAAUCCCACGCCUCGCCCGAGAGACAGCACGUCACCGUCACCGUCACCGCCUAGCGCCCCUGACCCGCUCCCACUCCGCUGCAGCGGAGGGUGUGUGAGGGAGAGGGACGCAGGGAGGGAAAAGCGUUGGGAGGGCAAACAUCUUUUCAUAAGCUUUUCCCCUUCUAUAUGCCAUCUCUGAUGGGAGCCUCUUUAGAUCUUUCGUCCAUUUACUAAUUGGGUUGUUCGAUUUCUUAUUGUUGAGUUGUAAGUGGUUUUUAAUGGUCUGGAUGCCAGACAGGUGUUUUGCAAAUAUUUUCUCCGUCUGUGGCUUGUUUCUCCAUUCUCUUAUUUCCUUUCCCAGAGCAAAAGUUUUUAAUUGUAACGACUUCAUACCAAUAUCUUCUUUCAUGGUAGAAAUUUGUCUUUUAUGUACUUUACUGUUGUAUCUACAAAGUAAUUGCCAAACCCAAAGUUACCUAAAUAUCCCUUUUGUUAUUUUACAGAAGUUUUACAGCUUUUGGAUUUAAAUUUAGGUCUAAAAAUUGAAUUCAUAAAAGUAGAGAGUAUAAUGAUGCUUACCAGAGGCUGUGUUGCUGGGGAGAAAAAUGGGAAGUUGUUCACAGAUGCAAAGAUUCAGUUAAACCGGAGAAAUGCGUUUUGAAAUCUAUUGCACAGCAGGAUGACUAUAGUCAAUAAUAAUGUACUGUAUAUUUAAAUAACAAAAAGUAAAUUUCAAAUAUCUAACCACAAAAAAUAAAAUUGAGGUGAUGGGUAUUUUUUAUUUUAUUUAUUUAUUUGUUUAUUUAUUUAUUUUUUUGAGACAGAGUCUCGCUCUUUCGCCCAGGCCGGACUGCAGUGGCAGGGUCUCGGCUCACUGCAAGCUCCGCCUCCUGGGUUCACGCCAUGAGGUGAUGGAUAUUUUAUCCUCGAUGUAGUCAUUCCUCAUUUUAUACACAUAUCCAAGCAUCACAUUGUACCCCAUAAAUGUAUGCAAUUGUGGUUUGACAAUUUAAAAUAUUAUUAACUUAAAAAUGUGUCGUUCGAGUUAAUUUUUGAGGAGCAAGGUCUGUGUCUCAAUUCUUUUUUUUUUUGCAUAUAUGUAUAUAUACAUACACGCAAUGUAUUCAUCACUGUUUUUGAAAAAGCUACCCUUUCUCCCUUGAAUUGCCUUUACCUUUUUGUAAAAGAUCAAUUGACUGUGUUUGUGCACUCUUAUUUCUGAGUUCUCUAUUCUGUUCCGUUGAUCACUUUGCAAGUCCUUGAACUUUGUUCCUCCCCCACAAUAUUGUUGGCUAUUCUUGUUAGUUUGUCUUUCUAUAUAAACUUUAGAAUUAGUUUGUCAAUUUCCACACAAUAAUUUAUUCAUGUUUUCACGAGAGUUGUAAUGAAUUUGUAAAUCACACUGAAGAGAACUGACAUCUUAACAACACUGGGUCUUAUUUUGUGAAUACAGAUGUCCCUUCAUUUAUUUAGAUCUUUAAUCCCUUUCAACAGAUUUUAUAGUUUUUCUCACAUAGACCCUGCCCAUAUUUUGCUAGAUUGUGUCUAUUUCAUUUUCUUGAUGCUAAUGAAAAUGGUAUUGGGCUUUUAAUUUCAAAUUCUCGUUGUUCAUUGCUGGAUGUAGGACAGCAAUUGAUUUUGUAUAUUAACCUUAUACCGUGCAACCUUGCUAUAAUCCAGAAGGGUUUUUGGCUGAUGCUUUGAGAUUCUCUACAUAGAAAAUCAAGUUAUCAGCAAGCAAAGGGCAUUUUAAUGCUCCCUUUCCAAUCUGUAUACCUUUUAUUUUAUUUUCUUGUCUUAUUGCAUUAGCUAGGAUUUUAGUAUGAUGUUGAAUAGGAGCAGUGAGAGGGGAUAACAUUUCCUUGCUUCUUUUGUGUAAAACAUCCCAUUUUUCACAUUAUGUAUGAUAUUGUCUGUAGGAUGUUCUUUUGGUAUAUGUUCUUUAUCAGUUGAGGAAUUUCCCUUCUAUUUCUAAUUUGCUGAGAGUUUUAACCAUGAAUGGGCUUUGGAUUCCGUAAAAUGCUUUCUUGAUCUAUUAAUAUAAUCAAAUAACUUUUCUUCUUUAGCUAGUUAUCUGAGGGAUUGCCUUAACUAUUUUGUGUUAAGCCAGGCUUGCAUACCUGGAAUAAAUCUCACUUGGUCUUGGUGUGUAAUUCAACAAUGUAUUGCUAGAUUCAGCAUGCUAAUAUUUUGUUGAGAAUUUUUGAUGAGAGACAUUUGUCUGAACAUUUUUCUUUAAAUGUCUUUUUCUGCUUUUGGUAUUAGAACUUCAUAAAAUGAGUUGGGAUAUGUUCCUUUUGCUUCUGUUUUCUGGUAGCAAUUGUAAAUAAUUGGUAUCUUUUCCUCCUUAAAUGUUUCAUACAAUUCGCUAGUGAAACAAUCUAGGCCUGUUGCUUUCUUUCUUGGAAGGUUGUUAAUUAUUCAUAUAUUUCUAUACUAGAUAAAGAGUUAUUUGAAUUAUCUAUUUCUCCUUUUGUAAGUUCUAUGGACUACAUUUUUGUGUCUCCCCAAAAUUCAAGUGCCAAAAUCAAUCCUCAAUGUGAUGGUAUUUGAGGUCCUUUGAGAAGUGAUUAGGUCAUGAGGAUGGAGCCCUCAUAGGUGGGAUUAGUGGUUUUUUCUAGAAAGGUUCCUCACCCCUUCUGUUAUGUGAGAACAUAUUGAAAAGAUGGCUUCCAUGAGCCAGAAAUUGAGUCCUCAGCAGACAUGAAAUCUGCUGAUGCCUAGAAUUGAUGUUGGAUUCCCUAGCUUCCGGAACUAUGAGAAAUAAGUUUCUGUGUUUAUAAGCCACCCAGUUUAUGGCAUUUUGGUAUAGCAUCCUGAACAAACUAAAGGAGUUUUGGUAGUUUGUGACUUUCAAGAUAUGGAUCCAUUUUGUCCAAGUAAUCAAAUUUGAGAGCACAUAGUGUUUAUACUAUUCAUUUAUUAUCCUUUUAACGCCCAUGGCAUCAAUACUGAUAACCUUUCAUUUCUGAUACUAGUAAUUUUUGUCUUCUGUUUCUGUUUCUCAUUUGUCUCCUCUCCUCCAUUUCCCAUCCUCUUUCUGCCUCUUCUUCAUCCCCUUCUCCUCCUCCUCCUUUUCCUCCUUCUCCUCCUCCUCCUCCUUCAUUAUCUUCUUCUUAUCCAUUAGAUUAUAUAAAAGUAAGCAAAAUAGAGAUUUUAUUUUACCUUCAUGUAUUCCUUCUCUAAGCUCUCCCUUCUUUAUGUAGAUCCAAAUUUCUUAUAAUUUUUCUUCUUCCUGAAACUCUUCUUUGAAAUUUUUUACGAAGUAGGUCUGCUCGUGACACAUUUCUUCAGUUUCUGUUUGUAUGAGAAAGUAUUUUUUCUCCUUCACUUUUGAAGGAUAGUUUUACUAGAUACAAAAAUAUCAGUUGAUUAUAUUGUUCUUUCAACAUUCUAAAUAUUUCAACUUACUCUCUUUUGAUUGGAUGGUUUCUGACAAGAAGUCCUAUGUAAAUCCUAUUCUUGCUUCUUUAUAAAUCAAGUCUUUUAUUCCAUUCACUUUCAACAAUUUGUCUGUCUUUGAUUUUCUGAAGUUGAAAUAUAAUUUGCAUAUGAGUAUAUAUUUUUGGUAUUUUUCUGAACUUCCUGUAUUUGUGGUUUCAACACGUAAUGUUGUAAAAUUCUCAGUCAGUAUUACUUCAAAUACUUAUCUGCAUUUUUUCCUCUUUCUUCUCUUUCUAGCAAUCCCAUUGUGCAUGUGCUACAUGCUACAACAAUUAUUGAAUAUUCUGUUCUUUUUUCCCAUUGUUUUCUCUUUGCAUGUCAGUUUGGGAAGUCUCUAUUGACAUACCUUCAAGAUGACUGAUGUUGUUCUUGACCGUGUUCAGUUCACUGAUAAACCUAUUGAGGACAUUCUUCAUUUCUGUUGCAGUAUUUUGUUUUCUAGCAUUUUCUUUCUUUUUUUUUUUUUUUUUUAAGAAAAAGGGCUUAAUUUAUGUCACUGAGGCUGGAGUGCAGUGGUAUGAACAUAGCUCACUGUAGCUUCAACAUCCUACGAUUUAGGAAUUCUCCCACCUCAACCUCUGGGACCACGGGCAUGUGCCACUAUGCCUGGCUGGUUAUUUGGUUUUUUUUUUGUUUUUUUGUUUUUUUGUUUUUUUAAGAGAAGGGUCUUACUUUGUUGCCUAUGCUGGUCUUAAACUCCUGGACUCAAGUGAGCUUCCUGCCUCAGCCUGAGAUUAUAGAUGCGAGCUGGGAUUAUAGAUGUGAGCCACUGCAUCCAGCCAAAAUUGAUACAUUUAAAAUAUACUGUUUUUAAUAUAAAUGGAAGAUGGAGAAUCACUAUGAGUAUUUCAUUAAUAUUUUGUGGGAAGCCUAAUAAAAAUGAAAUUUUCUGUGAGUGUACCUCACCCUUCCAAAUGUUGAGCCACUUCUCCAAGGGACAGUUCUUCGGCUGAUUUUUGGUGUUUUAUCUUCCGCCAGUAGUGAAAUGAAUGACAUGACUUAUGGCCCAAGGCUUUACUCAGAAGCUUGGUGCCUGUUACCAGCGCUGCUGGGAGCUCCUGAGGUAGACACAAAGGCCAGGUGUCAGGGAGACUACCCAAGAGCAAAGAGCCGGAGAGGGGAGGCAUGUGCUGUUGGACAAAAUUGCCAUCACUAGGCGGGUACUGUGAAUCCAACAUAGAUCUGAGUCAGGUUCCAUAUGCAGGGUUCGGGGUGAGUGCCUGGGAUCACUCUGUGGCUGGAAUUCUCCAGAAACCUGGUUUAUACAGUGUAAUUGAAACUUGAAGCAGCAUCUGAUGCACCUUAGAUGAUUAGAACUGAUUAGAGGUUCUAGGCUGAUUAGAACUAGGUGAUUGGAACACGGUCUGGCUAGGAAGGAAGGGACCAUGCGCAUCAGGGCGGAGACUGCAGGUGGGCAGAUGGCCAUCACAGCCCAGCGGGCUGCCCUUUACUCUCCUCCAGGCCCAGGAGACUAAACACACUUGAGUCGCAACUGCCUCUGGGCGUGGGAACUGUGGUCUUGUUUCCAGUCACCUGUCCCAGCAAGAAGGAGCUUCCGUUGUGCUUGCAGACUUGACCUUACUAGUCUGGGCUGGGGAGUUCUGUGUCUGCCCAUGGCUGGUCAUUAUUGUCUACAAAACCUGCUGUGUGAUCUGUAAGAAUUUUUGUGACUAGCUAGCUCAAGGGCAUGAUGACAUGCCUAUGCUAUUGCUGAGGGAAUAUCUCUAUUUUCAGGUGAAGAUUGUUUCUAAUUUUAUGUUCAGAAUUACAUACAAGAGGCACAGUGGAGGUAUAUAAAUGAAGAUCCACCAGCAUUCUUUCAAAAUACUGAACCACAUUUUCUGAUAGACAUUGGGGUGGGGUGGCUGCAAGCAGAAUGUCUGGGUUGGCAUUCUCAUUCCACAGCUUCAUGCGGUGUGAUAGUGAGUAAUUUACUUUCCCUCUCUGUGUCACAGUUUCCUAUUCUCUAAAAACAGCUAAUAAUAAUGACCUACCUUAUAGACUGUUAUGAAGAUUGAAUUAAUUUAUAUAUGUAAAUAAGACUUGGAACAUAAAUUUUCUGCACAUUUUUUUUUGUUUUUUUGAGACGGAGUCUCACUCUGUCGCCCAGGCUGGAGUGCAGUGGCCAAUCUCGGCUCACUGCAAUCUCUGCCUCUUGGGUUCACGCCAUUCUCCUCCCUCAGCCUCCCGAGUAGCUGGGACUACAGGCACCCGCCACCAUGCCCGGCUAAUUUUUUGUAUUUUUUUAGUAGAGGCGGGGUUUCGCCGUGUUAGCCAGGAUGGUCUCAAUCUCUUGACCUCGUGAUCCGCCCGCCUCGGCCUCCCAAAGUGCUGGGAUUACAGGCGUGAGCCAGCGGGCCCGGCCGAUUUUCUGUAAAUGUUAGCCAUUGUUAUUGCUCCUAUUGACCUGAAGUAUAAAAACAGAAAUGUGACCCUGGUCCUUGACCUUGGGUGGAAUCACAUGAUAAGCAAUAGUUUAGGGAAAAUGUUUGUACCGGGUAUUUUCAUUAUUCAAAAUAUUAUUAAUAAUAAUGUGCUAUUAAGAUAAUGUUACAAAAUUAAAAUAUUGAAAAGAAGCCUCUGGUACAGAAUCAGAAAGUCUUACUGUGCAUGUGUGUAUUUUGACUUUCUAUAAUUCCUCUGUCAAUCAUAAGCUUUGCAGAUUUCAGUUAUCUGGGUCAACUUGCCAGUAGUAACUGCUUUGGUCUCCCCAUCUCUAACGCACCUCAUGAUCUAUUUGCUGUCCUGCUGCUACAGUAACCCUGCUACAGUUCUCUUACCUGAAGAUCUUCCUUUCCCAGGAAAACAUUUCACACUUUCCCUGACAACACAUCACACACACACACACACACACACACACACACACACACACCAUAAACACCCCCCAUACACACACACCACACACCAAAAACUCACACAUUCUACACACAUCACACACAUGAACACCCCAGCACACACAUAUUCAUACCACAAAUACCACACACACCACACACACAUCACACCCACCACCUACACUAACAUACAUACCACACACACACCAAACACACAUUCCACACACAUACUCUGAACACCCCAAUACACGCACACUCAUACCACAUGCACACCACACACAUCAAACUCAUACACACUGCACUCACUUCCUACAUCCACACACACCACAUACACACACCACAUGCAUCACACACACACACAAACACUCCCGCAUACACUCACACUCACAGUAUUAAACAAUACCACACACUGAUGCAUUCCACACACACACACCAUAGACACCCCAAUACACACAUACUCAUACCACACAUACCACACAUACCACCCCCACACACACCACAUGCACAUCACGCACACUCUCACAAAUACAACACUCACUACCUCCACUCACACACAUGCCACAUACACACACACCAUACACACCACAUGCAUAAAACACACACCAAAAACACUCCCUAUACACUCACACUCACGUACCACACAUAAAACACACACACAUUCCACACACACACCGUGAACAUACACACACUCAUCACACACACCACACACAUCACACAAACUCUCACACACCACUCCUACACACACACCACAUACACAGACACCACACACACCACCGCCAUCCCUGAUACACUCACACUCACAUACCACAAACACACCACACACACCUUCCACACACACACACCACAAACAUCCCCCAUACACCCACAUACCACACACACACCACACACUCCACACACACACCAUGGACACCCCAUGCAUACACUCAGAUCACACCCACACACCAAGCCCACUACACUCCAUAUAUACUCACAUACGCCACAUAAACACAAACCACCCACACCCACACACACACACAUCACACUCACUCCUUGAAACGCUUCUCUUCACUCACUGAUCCCUUCCUGACCCUAAUCCACACCCACCGGGCUCCCCAGGCUUUCUUCCACCAGGACCUCCAUAGCCCCUCCCUCCAGGGACUUCUCUCCACUCUAGGCUCCCUAUGGAGCCUCCGUUCCUUCUGCAGCUCUCGC